GGGAAUAUUGCACAAUGGGCGAAAGCCUGAUGCAGCAACGCCGCGUGAGUGAUGAAGGCCUUCGGGUUGUAAAGCUCUGUCUUCUGGGACGAUAAUGACGGUACCAGAGGAGGAAGCCACGGCUAACUACGUGCCAGCAGCCGCGGUAAUACGUAGGUGGCAAGCGUUGUCCGGAUUUACUGGGCGUAAAGGAUGCGUAGGCGGAUACUUAAGUCAGAUGUGAAAAUCCCGGGCUUAACUUGGGAACUGCAUUUGAAACUGGGUAUCUAGAGUGCGGGAGAGGAAAGUGGAAUUCCUAGUGUAGCGGUGAAAUGCGUAGAGAUUAGGAAGCACACCAGUGGCGAAGGCGACUUUCUGGACCGUAACUGACGCUGAGGCAUGAAAGCGUGGGGAGCAAACA
rnacentral:rRNA from 1 species